AUUGAACGCUGGCGGCAGGCCUAACACAUGCAAGUCGAGCGGAUGAAGGGAGCUUGCUCCUGGAUUCAGCGGCGGACGGGUGAGUAAUGCCUAGGAAUCUGCCUGGUAGUGGGGGAUAACGUCCGGAAACGGGCGCUAAUACCGCAUACGUCCUGAGGGAGAAAGUGGGGGAUCUUCGGACCUCGCGCUAUCAGAUGAGCCUAGGUCGGAUUAGCUAGUUGGUGGGGUAAAGGCCUACCAAGGCGACGAUCCGUAACUGGUCUGAGAGGAUGAUCAGUCACACUGGAACUGAGACACGGUCCAGACUCCUACGGGAGGCAGCAGUGGGGAAUAUUGGGCAAUGGGCGAAAGCCUGAUGCAGCCAAGCCGCGUGUGUGAAGAAGGUCUUCGGAUUGUAAAGCACUUUAAGUUGGGAGGAAGGGCAGUAAGGUAAUACCUUGCUGUUUUGACGUUACCAACAGAAUAAGCACCGGCUAACUUCGUG
rnacentral:rRNA from 1 species